rnacentral:rRNA from 1 species
AUUGAACGCUGGCGGCAGGCCUAACACAUGCAAGUCGAGCGGAUGAAGGGAGCUUGCUCCUGGAUUCAGCGGCGGACGGGUGAGUAAUUCCUAGGAAUCUGCCUGGUAGUGGGGGAUAACGUCCGUAAACGGGCGCUAAUACCGCAUACGUCCUUAGGGAGAAAGUGGGGGAUCUUCGGACCUCACGCUAUCAGAUGAGCCUAGUUCGGAUUAGCUAGUUGGUUGGGUAAAGGCCUACCAAGGCGACGAUCCGUAACUGGUCUGAGAGGAUGAUCAGUCACACUGGAACUGGGACAGGGUCCAGACUCCAAGGGAAGGAAGAGGAGGGAAAUAUUGGAAAAUGGGCGAAAGCCUGAGCCAGAACUGCGGCGGGGGUGAAGAAGGUCUUCGAAUGGUAAAGCACGUUAAGUGGGGAGGAAGGGUAGUAAGUUAAUACCGUGCUGUUUUGACGUUACCAACAGAAUAAGCACCGGCUAACUCCGG